GCCUCGGGCACGGAGUGGGAGGGUCGUGGGAAUGCGGCGGGGGCAGACACGGGCCACGCGUUGUUCGUGGAGUUUGGGCGGCUGGAACGGCUCUCUCACUGGCUUCCAUCUUGAAAGACAAAGGUUUUGGCCAAUCAGCAGGGGAGAGCCGCUUUGAAAACAAGGAGUAGUAAAGGAGGAGGAAGUGUUCUGUGUAUCAUUUUCUUAAGUUGUUUUCAGAAAGAGGUGAACCUUUGCUUGGUUAUCACCGUUCUUUUCAAUCCUGAAGUUUAUUGACUUUUGGCAUGCUGAUCCUAUGCCUGUUUGUUUGGAAGUCAUUCCCAAGUAAUGCCUAGAGGAAACGUGCCUUGGAUUGCAGCCAUGUAACCCAGUUCUAUGUAUGAUUACUUGGAAUUAUGUCUUAAGUAAUGUCCAGAGGUUUGUAUCCUUGCUAUGAAUUUCUAAUUUUGCUUACCCAGAAGGAAGUCUUGAUGAACUGAACGGGUUUUAAUCCCAAGUAAUGUGCAUUAGCUUGUAGCCAUGUGGCCCUGUUGCUUUCCCACAGAAAUACAAAUAUGUAUCUGUGGAGAUUAACUCUGGUAGUCCCAAAGGGCAGUCCUUUCAAGUUGAGUGUAGGUUUGCCAGAUGGUUCUCUUCAGCAAGGUUUAUCCCUUUUCCCCAAUGGAGAGUGCUGCUUUGCCAAUUUUAAAACAGCUUGGCUUUUGGUUGUUCUGGCUGGCUUGUUUUGUUUUGUUUUACACUGCACUCAAAUCAGUGGUCAAUUUAAAAGGCUUAUUAAUAGAAGCCAAAGCUUGCUUGCUUGUUUGAACUAUUAAUGGUCAGUUAAUUCAGAGCAAUUUGACAACGAAACUUGAUUUUAAGGGCUUUAAAUGGCAGUACCCAGACUUGAUGUUUUUAUCCACCAUAUAAUUGUAAAAGUGAAACAAACAUGUAAAUCUUAUUUUAAGCCUGUUGCAUAGGAAUAAGAUUGCUAGUAAUAUACAUAGUGGCAGCACAUCACUUUGGUAAUCCUAACUACUAUGCUGGAUGAAUUGCUGUAGUACAAUUUGCAGAAAUGGAUGGUGAAGAAAAUCAGAGUCCGAACAGAAUCCUGUCCUUGCUGAGAUACCAGCCAGAAUCCUAGCAACAAAAAAGAUACUCUCACAAAAAUGCACAGUAAGCAAAAACAGGAGCCAUAGCCCAUGAAGAGAAUUGCUUUGAUUGGACAGUUAACACUGCUGAGUGGAAGUAAUCCAAACCUGCACAGAAUAGAAAGAACCAUGUAUGGCUGUAUGUAUUUCUUGUACCUAAAAUGAAAUGGAAAAGAUCCCAGACAUAUUCCUUUAUAUUACUGCCGGAACUUGCUUCCUCACACAAUCAUUGUUCAGUAAAUGCUAUGACUAUUUCAAUUCUGGUUUUGUGUGAUUAAUAAAUAACUGUGGUUAACCUAACCUAAUUAAUAAAAAACUGGUUUUUCUCUGUAUUAACUCCCUGAAUUACAAUCAAAUGAUCUGUUUGAAUAUUUUAGUGUUCACAGUUCUCAAAAAACUGGGGUGUUGUUAGGAACCCAUUUGUCCUAACUACUACUGUGCCCUACACAAGAUUUGGGGUGGAAGGGAUGGAAAAUAACAAGAAGACACUAGCAGUCAAACAUGAGAAGUGAAUAGGUUUGAGCAAAAUGAAAAGAUCCUAAACAACAUAUAUCACUCAGUUUUCUAUAUGAGGUUAUUGGUUCAUGUACAAGUAACUGAUUUCUCACGGCUUCAUCUCAGGUGCCUGUGUGUGUUUUCUAGACCUUCUAAGGUACUAUAAUUAAAGAACAAAUGUGGGUGUUUUGUGGAAUGAACUUUUUUUGAUCCUCAUACUGCCCUUUCAAUCAUGGUUUAUAUAUUGCUUGAUGUGAUAUGUAGCAGUCCAGAUUGAUCCUGAACAGAUGCCCCCAACUAACCACCAUGUUUGCAGAUUGUCAGUUGAAAGUGAUUGUUUUAUUGCUGUUCCAAUGGCUGCACUUUUACCAUUGAAACAUUUUUGAGAUAGAGGCAAAGGCUUACAAUUGGAGUGGGUAGGGCUCUAUUCCUUUAUUUGUGAGGGCAAAAGAAAAAGACAGGGUGGGUUGAUUUAAAUUAAGUUUCCUUUCAAACUUUUCCAUAAUUUCCCAAAUAAUAGUGCAAAUCUGACCACUAAGUUAUAAUGUUUAUAGAUCAAUUUAUAGCUAAGUAGUAUUUACACUGCUUUGUCCCUACAAGCAUGCUUUGCUUCUCCACUGGCCAGGUUCACACACAAUGCUAACUUGUGCUACAGGGCUGCUGCAGCCAGCUAAACUAACAAACUGUGGUUUAUUUGUAACUCUAACCCAAAUUGUUUUUAUGCUUUCUAAAGACCAACCAUGGUAGGAAAAAAAAGUGCCAUGGCUUGCUGUGUUGUCUGAGCCAAGCCUAUUAGUUGUUUAAAUCAUAGGUUGUCAUGUGUGAAUCCCAAACCAUUAGUUCAUUGAUUGUUUCAGUAGGCCUACAUCAUAAAGAAACAGCCACUCCAGUAGUACAGUGCAGUAAAGUCAUUUUGGAAUGUAGGGAGGGAACCAACAAAGGAGAAGGGAAUGAACCCAGGGACUGAAACAGUAAUAAUAACCUACUAUUUGUUUCAUCACAGGGAACAAAGCAUGGGUUAAACUGUGGUUUACUUACAAACUAGGCCACAGUUACAUAUUUUCCUUGUUUUACCUACAGAAGGUAUAUCCUGAGGAAUGUAUAGCUUCUUACGAUAAUCGCACAUGAUAAUAGGUUAAUAGUGCCAUCCUCAGAAAUAAGUUUAAAUAAGUUCUAUAUGUUCUAAUCCCAGGCAACUGCUUAUUGGAUUGCUACUUAAGUGUAGGACUUAAGGAAGAUACUCAAUGGGCAACUUUGUCUUUCUCUUUCCAGUUUUGUUACUUUUUGCUUCAUUCUGUAUUGGCUAAGCCACACCCUCACAAAAGCAAAGUGGAAAACAAAAAUGAAAUGCCUAUGUUUGAUAGGUUCAAGUAAGAUUUGACAGUUACUGAGAAUACUAGAACGAUGCAUUUUCAUCAAGUGGAAAGUAAAUAUCUGUGUUUGGUAGACUGAGCCCAGUGGAAAUAACCAUAUUGCAAGAUUGAUUCUUAAUUUCCAGGAAACUACUUUUAACUCAACACUUCUGGAAAAGGCCUUAAUUCAUUCUGGAGAUUAAUUGUACAGCUAACAUGCUUAUAUCUAGAAUAUUUAAUGUUCACCUAGUUCUUAAUUAAAGUUGAUUUUUAUCUUCCCUGCUGUAUAGCCUUUCUGUCUUAACAAGCUACUUACUAUGUAUUGCUUGGUCUUGCUCCAUCACCACAUAUGUACAUGGAACAACAGUUGUCCUACCUAGUCUAUUAUUUUUGCAGAUGUGAAUAUUCAGACAGAAAGUGAAAGCCUGGCAGUUUCAGGACUAAGAUCUUCUGGGCCAAAUGAAGCUAUUUUCAUGAGAUGUUAUUAAUUCAAGUUAAAAACUCUCUUAAUAAGAAUUACUUUAUGAAGUAUCUGCAUUUUUGCUUGAAUGAAUUCUUUCUGGGUAGCCUGUUUAUCUUUUACUACAGUUUAGAUGUGGAUAUGAAAUAUGAAUGCAUAUCACAAGGCCUGAAUGUAUUUCAAGCUGCUCAGACAUUUGUCUUCAUAACAGUCAAUAUUCAGCAUGCAGUUUUGCUCUUGCCUGGUUCUGCUUACUCAUCACAUCUUAGCUUUGCAGUGUAUUAAACACAGAAAAAAGUCUCUGUUGGAAUGAUGUCAGCCCACUUGAGAAGACCACUGUCAAUCUUGCUACUAAUCAAAAGGGCCACAGCUUAUUUCAAUUUAACUAUCUUUUGCUGUUUGCGCCUUAUAGUUUCUUUCUCUGCAGCGCUACAGAGUUCACCCUCUG